rnacentral:rRNA from 1 species
AUUGAACGCUGGCGGCAUGCCUUACACAUGCAAGUCGAACGGCAGCACGGGUGCUUGCACCUGGUGGCGAGUGGCGAACGGGUGAGUAAUACAUCGGAACAUGUCCUGUAGUGGGGGAUAGCCCGGCGAAAGCCGGAUUAAUACCGCAUACGAUCUACGGAUGAAAGCGGGGGACCUUCGGGCCUCGCGCUAUAGGGUUGGCCGAUGGCUGAUUAGCUAGUUGGUGGGGUAAAGGCCUACCAAGGCGACGAUCAGUAGCUGGUCUGAGAGGACGACCAGCCACACUGGGACUGAGACACGGCCCAGACUCCUACGGGAGGCAGCAGUGGGGAAUUUUGGACAAUGGGCGAAAGCCUGAUCCAGCAAUGCCGCGUGUGUGAAGAAGGCCUUCGGGUUGCAAAGCACUUUUGUCCGGAAAGAAAUCCUUGGCUCUAAUACAGUCGGGGGAUGACGGUACCGGAAGAAUAAGCACCGGCUAACUACGUG